GACGAACGCUGGCGGCGUGCUUAACACAUGCAAGUCGAACGGGAAGGCCCUUCGGGGUACACGAGUGGCGAACGGGUGAGUAACACGUGGGUGAUCUGCCCUGCACUUCGGGAUAAGCCUGGGAAACUGGGUCUAAUACCGGAUAGGACCACUGCCUGCAUGGGUGGUGGUGGAAAGCUUUUGCGGUGUGGGAUGGGCCCGCGGCCUAUCAGCUUGUUGGUGGGGUGAUGGCCUACCAAGGCGACGACGGGUAGCCGGCCUGAGAGGGUGACCGGCCACACUGGGACUGAGAUACGGCCCAGACUCGUACGGGAGGCAGCAGUGGGGAAUAUUGCACAAUGGGCGCAAGGCUGAUGCAGCGACGCCGCGUGAGGGAUGACGGCCUUCGGGUUGUAAACCUCUUUCAGCACCGACGAAGCGCAAGUGACGGUAGGUGCAGAAGAAGGACCGGCCAACUACGUGCCAGCCGCCGCAGUAA
rnacentral:rRNA from 1 species